GAUCAGUGGCUCAGGACGACGCUGGCGGCGUGCUUAACACAUGCAAGUCGAACGGUGAACCAGAGCUUGCUCUGGGGAUCAGUGGCGAACGGGUGAGUAACACGUGGGCAACCUGCCCCAGACUCUGGGAUAACCUCGGGAAACCGAUGCUGAUACCGGAUACGACCACUUCGGACAUCCGACGGUGGUGGAAAGUUUUUCGGUCUGGGAUGGGCCCGCGGCCUAUCAGCUAGUUGGUGGGGUAAUGGCCUACCAAGGCGACGACGGGUAGUCGGCCUGAGAGGGCGACCGGCCACACUGGAACUGAGACACGGUCCAGACUCCUACGGGAGGCAGCAGUGGGGAAUAUUGCACAAUGGGCGAAAGCCUGAUGCAGCGACGCCGCGUGAGGGACGACGGCCUUCGGGUUGUAAACCUCUUUCAGCAGGGACGAAGCGAAAGUGACUGUACCUGCAGAAGAAGCACCGGCUAACUACGUG
rnacentral:rRNA from 1 species